rnacentral:rRNA from 2 species
GACGAACCGUCCAAACGUUAUUCGGAAUUACUGGGCUUAAAGGGUGCGUAGGCGGCCUGACAAGUUGGGUGUGAAAUACCUCGGCUCAACCGAGGAACAGCGCUCAAAACUGUCAGGCUUGAGGGAGAUAGAGGUGAGCGGAACUUAAGGUGGAGCGGUGAAAUGCGUUGAUAUCUUAAGGAACACCCGUGGCGAAAGCGGCUCACUGGAUCUCUUCUGACGCUCAUGCACGAAAGCUAGGGGAGCAAACGGG